UCCCUGGUGGCCCAGUGGUUAAGGAUCUGGCACUGUCACUGCUGUGGUGCGGGUUCGAUCCCUGGCCUGGGAA
rnacentral:tRNA from 1 species